CAACAAACUGUCGAUAUCAACGAGCGGUUCGCUCCACUGGAGCGUUCGGGACUCUGCGGGUUUCUGUCCAUAGAGGAGAGGAACCGACUCAAAGAAGAGGAGACGGGCGCACAAUCCCACGAUAGCGGAAGAGGUGCGCCGUCUUCACAACUCCGAGACGAACUACAGGCGCUACGAACCGGAGCAAGGGUCAGAUUUAAAGAAGAUGCUUUCAUUCUGCGCUAUAAGGGAAUAUAUACGUAUGGAUACCGAUCAUAACUGUACAUUUUGUUUUCACAGACUAAUCUCGCCUCAUAAUGAGGCGGUGACCUCGUAUUUGCUCCGGGAAAAGUCCAGAUUUAGACGACGUCAUUGUGUGUAAGUGACACUGUUUCUCCUUCCUUGUUAAAUGUUACUGUGACUUGCGUUUGAUUUUCUUUUUGUAUUCAUACCACACUCAUUUAAUUGUUUUCCAGCCGCCUGUGAGACGUAUUUUGAGACGGGACGCAGGAGCUUCAGGUUCAG
ensembl:lncRNA